rnacentral:rRNA from 1 species
AUUGAACGCUGGCGGCAUGCCUUACACAUGCAAGUCGAACGGCAGCACGGGUGCUUGCACCUGGUGGCGAGUGGCGAACGGGUGAGUAAUACAUCGGAACGUACCUUAUCGUGGGGGAUAACGCAGCGAAAGCUGUGCUAAUACCGCAUACGCCCUGAGGGGGAAAGCGGGGGAUCGCAAGACCUCGCGCGAUUAGAGCGGCCGAUGCCUGAUUAGCUGGUUGGUGGGGUAAAAGCCCACCAAGGCGACGAUCAGUAGCUGGUCUGAGAGGACGAUCAGCCACGCUGGGACUGAGACACGGCCCAGACUCCUACGGGAGGCAGCAGUGGGGAAUUUUGGACAAUGGGGGCAACCCUGAUCCAGCAAUGCCGCGUAAGUGAAGAAGGCCUUCGGGUUGUAAAGCUCUUUUGUCAGGGAAGAAACACCGGCUCUAACACAGUCCGGGAAUGACGGUACCUGAAGAAUAAGCACCGGCUAACUACGUGCCAGCCGCCGCCGUAA